GCCAGAGUAGCUCAGCUGGUUAGAGCAGCGGAAUCAUAAUCCGCGUGUCGGGGGUUCGAGUCCCUCCUCUGGCA
rnacentral:tRNA from 2 species